CACACAGCUGUUCAGCUCCCUGUACGGAGGAAUCUCAAAACUCCACAUUUUCUUUGGUACAGGAGGUCUAUCAACACUCAGGGCUGGGCUGGCCAGAGGUGCAUUGCCAGUGUAACUGGAUCCAGUCUUGUCAUCUGCUGUUAAGUUUCCAUUUGUCUUUCCUGAACCGAUCUUGAAGCUUUUUCUGAGGUUACCUUGCCUCUGUCUGAUGAGGUGUCAAUGGGGCUGGUUGCCUCCACUGCCCUGCUGUGCUCCCCUGUGCUCUGAUGAUGAGGAUUACUGACAGCCCUGCUGCCCUGGGGCACCCUUAGCCCCCUGCUCACCUUCCCUCUGGAGCAGCCUCCCUCUUGCAGCUAUGGACAGUCCCCAGCUCACAGAAAUGUAAGAAAGACCUGCUGGAUGUAUUGAUGCCAAGGAAAUGGUUACCUUAGCAACAAAAACAAGAUUUGUAUCUGGCUUUAAUAGGAAGAUCCUUUGUCCUUUUUGUAUUGCUAUACUAACAUCCAGAAGUCCUUAAAGCUUCAAGAGGUAUGAGACCUGCCUGCAGUCCAUGCCCAAGAAAGGAGCAAGAGAGACACCAAGGGUGAUACCUUCUCUCAAAGAUGAUAAUGGAAUGGAGAAUCCAUUCCUGUUUUUCUGAUUAAGUUCUCUAGGUAAAUCAUGUUCCCAUAUCUAUUGUCAACAUUCUAAACCUCUUUCACUUUGCUGCUGUUUUGCUAGUAAAAUUCUCUUUAAAUGCUCAUAGGAGAACAUUUCUAUUACUCUUGCAAAGUGGCUUUGGGCUGAAAUCAGUAGUCUCCUGCAUGCUUCUACGUAAAUUUCAAAGGAAUUUUUAAUGCAUCAGCAAUGCAGCAGUGAAUAUUUUGUCUGCUGCUAAUUGUCCACAUUUUUAUAAAUACCACAUGACUUAUUUGACAGAUCAUCUGCCUCAUUGAGGGCUUAAAAGAAAUGUGUUAUUUAAUAAGUCUGUUGCAUUCCUUUCUGAUGUGUAAAAUUUGCUUAUUACAAAAGAGAAAGAAAAAUAUGAACUGAGAAUUGAGAAGUCUCAUUUUUAAAGUCACAUGUAGUUUAAUUCUACACAUGCCAGUAUGAGUAUGAGUAAAUGUACUUUCUGGUACACAAAUAUUUUAAAAUCCUAAAGUAAUGGGGUUUAAGACAAUGGGUUUGAAAUAUUGUACGAACUUUAAUUCAAAGUGCUUGGUAUUUAUAAGCUAGAUUCACCUUAGCCCUACAGAAAAAUCUUAAUUAAAUUAACUUAAUCAACCAAACUCAAGCUAUGAAACUCUCUUGGAACAGAUGUGCUAAUUAAUUGCAUUCUGAUUUACUAUAUUAACUUGAUGUCACAUACUGUAACAAAGGUCUUAAGCUAUUUUUUAAUUAAACGGAAAAAUAUGCAGCCAUUACAUUGGUUGUGUAGAUCAGAUCUGUUUAAUUUAAGUUCAUGGCUUUGUCACAUCAUUUUCCUUCUUUGAAGCAUGCUGAGUAUGUGUAGUUUUCCUUCUAUAACAGGGGUGAUUCGUAAUAAUAGAGUGAGGGAGAUGGCUUUUGGACUGUUUCUUCCCUCAGCUCUGUCUGUCUUCACAUCAUCACAUUUCCAGGAAGAAGAAUUGGCUGAAAAAUGACUCUGAGUAAGCCCUGCUUAGUGCUUUUUCAGUGUAAAACUUAAAAGUGACAUUUUGGUAUCAGGCAGCUGCCUUUUUUUUGCCUUUUUUUUUCCUCCCCGCCAGAUGCAAGGGCAAUGAUAUGAAACUGAAAGAAACCACAGCUCAAUCGUCUGCCUUCCACUUAAUUUUUCAUACAAAUUUAAGGUCAGGUUGUGGCCUGGUAACCAGUGAGGUGUAUGUAACAUUAGAACAGUAAUACUCUGAAACUGAUUAUGAAGAGAAACCAGGAAGAAUGGACAGGAGCCUGCUCUUGGUUAAACUAAAACUAGAUCAACUCUAUUACUGUAUGAAGUAAUGGACCUCUUUAGAUUUAUACUAUUGAUAAGAAAAUGAAGAAUGCAUCAGACAACAGUGACACAGUUAUAUUACACUUUCAAUAAAAUGAUCUUUUAUGUUCACGUAUAUGUGUUUUAUCUAUUUUACAUAUUAUACAAAAGUUGUGUGUAUGAAAGACAUAUCUUCAUGUAUCAGAGCAUCCCAAUACAACAUUGGCUGCUGCAUAUUUCUGACUAAUAAUAAAACCAUUGCUUAUAGUAGAAAACUUGUUAUUUACACAAAUAAAAGUAUCAGUAGAGCAACAGUUUAAAAGCUGCUGUUGGUUUUUACCUUUAUUUGGUAAUUAGAAUACCUCGUUGUGCUUAUUCUUUGUGAAAACAUGUACAUCUCUCCUAUUUAAUAAAAUACACAUCAGGGAAAAAUA